GGGGGAGUGAGAGAGUGAUGUGGUGGAGUUCAGCUGCUCGUCAUUGUGAAAUCACCGUAUCCAGUUUGGAAGGUUCACCACCCAAAGUUGCACCCGUGGUGAGCAAAGUGGUGUAUUCACUCCCUGGUCAUUGUGUAGUGCUGGAGCUUCUGUUUUGACAAAGGACCUCAUGGCAGGUUGGAUUGAUUUCUUGGAUCAAAUAAAUGGUUUUGUUCUCUGCUCCUGAGAUAUUGGUGAAAAGCUGUAAUUUAGGCAAAGAGGAGAGAAAACACUUCCAAGAUGAGCCAGGAUUAGGUCAUGUCCUCACUGAUGGUUCUAAUGGAUGUGCUCUUCACAUGUCAGGCAGGA
rnacentral:lncRNA from 1 species